rnacentral:rRNA from 1 species
UAGGGAAUCUUCCGCAAUGGGCGAAAGCCUGACGGAGCAACGCCGCGUGAGUGAUGAAGGUCUUCGGAUCGUAAAACUCUGUUAUUAGGGAAGAACAAAUGUGUAAGUAACUAUACACGUCUUGACGGUACCUAAUCAGAAAGCCACGGCUAACUACGUGCCAGCAGCCGCGGUAAUACGUAGGUGGCAAGCGUUAUCCGGAAUUAUUGGGCGUAAAGCGCGCGUAGGCGGUUUUUUAAGUCUGAUGUGAAAGCCCACGGCUCAACCGUGGAGGGUCAUUGGAAACUGGAAAACUUGAGUGCAGAAGAGGAAAGUGGAAUUCCAUGUGUAGCGGUGAAAUGCGCAGAGAUAUGGAGGAACACCAGUGGCGAAGGCGACUUUCUGGUCUGUAACUGACGCUGAUGUGCGAAAGCGUGGGGAUCAAACAGG